GUCACGCUCUCGCUCGCUCUCUUUCUGCCGCCAUCUUGGUUCCGCGUCCCCCGCACACCCUUCGCAGAGUUUUUAAGAAUAUUUGACUCUGGGUUGGGCACAGAACGGAUCCCAGUCAAUUCAGGCCUCCUUUUUAUUCCCUUCAGAAAUGCCUGAUGAAGCCACAGAAACCGUCUCUGCUACAGAGCAGGAGUUGCCACAGCCCCAGGCUGAGACAGGGUCUGGAACAGAAUCUGACAGUGAUGAAUCAGUACCAGAGCUUGAGGAACAGGAUUCCACACAGGCAACCACACAGCAAGCCCAGCUGGCAGCAGCCGCUGAAAUUGACGAAGAACCAGUCAGUAAAGCAAAACAGAGCCGGAGUGAAAAGAAGGCACGGAAGGCUAUGUCCAAACUGGGUCUUCGACAGGUUACAGGGGUUACAAGAGUCACUAUCCGGAAAUCUAAGAAUAUCCUCUUUGUCAUCACAAAACCAGAUGUCUACAAGAGCCCAGCUUCAGAUACCUACAUAGUUUUGGGGGAAGCCAAGAUCGAGGAUUUAUCUCAGCAAGCACAACUGGCAGCUGCUGAGAAAUUCAAAGUUCAAGGUGAAGCUGUCUCAAACAUUCAAGAAAACACACAGACUCCAACUGUACAAGAGGAGAGUGAAGAGGAAGAGGUUGAUGAAACCGGUGUAGAGGUUAAGGACAUAGAAUUGGUCAUGUCACAAGCAAAUGUGUCAAGAGCAAAGGCAGUCCGAGCCCUGAAGAACAACAGUAAUGACAUUGUAAAUGCUAUUAUGGAAUUAACAAUGUAACCAUCUGAAAACGAGGACUUUUUUUUGGUGUUUCAAAAGAAUAACUGCAGCUUGGUUUGAAAUUUGUACUGUUUCUAUCAUUAAUAAAGUUAUGGCUUCUUGUUGGAUGAAAAAAAAA